CUGAGAUUAAUGGCCCUGGGUUGCAGCCAAAAGCAUCUCAGAGGGUAUGAUGCAUUUCCUGACUGUAGUCGGCUUUCCAUGGGUGAAACAGAAAAGUCUUCAAAUAUCCUCACCAACUGCUUUCCUAGAUUUUUCAGCCAGUUACUUGACCAUAUUAGGAAAAAAAAGGUGAGCUUGGGCUUCAGGACAUACAAAACAACAUUAGUUAUGCUGGAAAGUAUCACCAAAGAAGUGCAGCUCAGACAAGCUGUAUUCUAUUUUGUUCUUUUGAACAUAAACACCUACAAAGGGACCAAAAGAAAUCUAAAUGAUCAACGCGAGCAAUCCUGAAUAGGCAGCAACGAUCAUUAUUGCCAAGUGAUUGUCUUAUCAUUUGUCAUCAGUUUUUUUUUUUUCAGAGUAAUUACAGUUAAAUGUAAA
rnacentral:lncRNA from 1 species